UACAGAGGGUGCGAGCGUUAAUCGGAAUUACUGGGCGUAAAGCGCGUGUAGGCGGCUAAGUAAGUCGGGCGUGAAAUCCCACGGCUCAACCGUGGAAGUGCACUCGAAACUGCAUAGCUAGAGUCCUGGAGAGGAAGGUGGAAUGCUUGGUGUAGAGGUGAAAUUCGUAGAUAUCAAGCGGAACACCAGUGGCGAAGGCGCCGCUCUGGGCCGUGACUGACGCUGAGGAGCGAAAAGCGUGGGUAGCAAACGAG
rnacentral:rRNA from 1 species